AUGUGGCUGGUUUUGGAAGCAGCUGGAAGGCCUGGCCAGGGGCUCUGGGCUACCUCAAAGGCCUCCUGCACUGCAGGGCCAGGGUUUCAGGGGUCAAGG
rnacentral:miRNA from 1 species